UGCAAUAAUGGCGACAUUGAGAAUUUUAUCUCUGCGAAUUUGUCUUCGUCCCAACAAUUUGGCACUUUUCUGCCUUUCCUCACUUCCAUGCACCACACUCUCCGUUAUCUCUCUGCUCUGCUAUUUCAUCCGUUUCUCGUUAUCAUCUCUACGUUGUCGUAUUUUAUCAUCAACAGCGAAGAAAGAUGCAAACAUAAUAGUUCUCACUUAUUGGGUUUUAGUGCUGUUUUAGGACCACUUCUAUUACUCUAGUGAUUUUAUUUUUAAGUUUUCAUUUGUGCAAACUUGGUUCCCCAGUUCUCUGUUUUUUCAACAUAUUAUUACACUUUCUAUCGGAAAUAAUUAAAGUCCAAGUCCAACACACAAACUUUAAAUAGAGAGGUGUCUCUCCUAACAACUACACUCAUUUUCUAAUUUAUCUCCAGCAUCGACUCUCAUUAAGUUGAGAUGGGAUUAUAAAAUUUGGAUCAUAUACUCUCGUACUUGAACUUACAUAAAAAAUACAAUUUCAAUUGAUAAAAGAUUAUGUCGAAAGUGUUUUUUUUAUACUUUCCAAAUUGUGAUGAUUAAAAUAAAUAUAAAAGUGAGUGUUUAAAUGCUGACAUAUGGUCAAAAGUUAUGUGUAACGGCUUACAAACCGACUUUAAUAUACUCGUGUUUUUUUUUAUGUUGGAUUCGCUGUAAAAUACUUUCUUUCUUCACUUUUUUCAAAUUUAAUGUAAAAAUUUCAUACGGGAUUGUAUUCUUAGAGUGAAUUUUUUUUCUUUGAAGGUAGAGUGAAUUAUAAAUUAGAUAUUAAUGUACCAAAAAUAGCUAUAUUUUAAAAACAAAUAUGGUAUUAUUAGGUGAGAUAAUAUAAAGUGAAAAGAGGCAAACUUUCUCAUUGUAUUUAUUGGUUUCUAUGGGCCAGUCUCCAAAGGCUUUAGACACGAUUGGGUUUAUUGGGCCUAGAUGGAAGAUUGACGAGGCUCUCGGGCUAGGCCCUUUUUAUUUUCUAAAUUUAAUAAAUAUAAAUAUAAAUAAUAAUAAUUACGAAUUUACAAACAUAGACAUAUCGUGGAUAACAGAGGACUGGAGAAUAGCAGAAGCGGAGAGUAGAGGAGCAACAAUGGCGAGCGGCGCUUCACUUCAAAAUUUAAGACUGAAAACUUCAUUCAUGGGAGAUCGAUUCCUACGCUGCUCAACGCUGCAACCCCUUCCUCAUCUAUUCCGUUACAAUCCUGGAAGCAAACAUGUCUCGAUGCAGUUAUCUCGAUCACUUUCUGGUUUAACCAAUCUCUUAUUUAAUAGAAGGAAUGUAGAUGAAGUGGCCAACAGCAAGCGAAAACGUCUCAGACCGGGGAAAGUUUCUCCGCAACUACAAGUGCCAAAGGACAUACUACGGCCGCCAUAUGUAAAAACCAAGGUUCCGGCUGGACUUGUAAGUGGGCCUGAAGUGCAUGAUGAGAGGGGGAUAGAAUGCAUGAGAGCUUCUGGAAAGCUUGCAGCACAGGUUCUUCAGUAUGCCGGCACCUUAGUCAAGCCAGGUAUAACAACAGAUGAAAUUGACAAAGCAGUUCACCAAAUGAUAAUUGAUAAUGGAGCAUACCCAUCUCCUCUCGGCUAUGGUGGGUUUCCAAAGAGUGUCUGCACUUCUGUCAAUGAAUGCAUUUGCCAUGGAAUACCAGAUUCCCGUGUGCUUGAGGAUGGUGAUAUAAUCAACAUUGAUGUUACUGUUUAUCUAAAUGGCUAUCAUGGUGACACAUCAGCAACUUACUUUUGUGGCGACGUUGGUGAUGAGGCCAGAAAACUAGUUCAGGAUGCAUACUGAAGAAUGUCAGAUGAUAUUCAUUUACGGCCUUUUAUUAUCUGGUAGCCUGGAGUUGUACCCCUUGUUCCUAUAAGUGGUAACUAAAGAAUGCCUAGAUAAAGCAAUAUCUAUAUGUGCGCCGGGAGUGGAAUUCAAGAAAAUUGGCAAAACGAUUCA